rnacentral:tRNA from 3 species
GGAGGGGUGCUGGAGUGGUUGAACAGGCGCGCCUGGAAAGCGCGUAGACUCGAAAGGGUCUCGAGAGUUCGAAUCUCUCCCCCUCCG